rnacentral:misc_RNA from 1 species
GUGAGUCAUCGAAUCUUUGAACGCACAUUGCGCCCGCCAGUAUUCUGGCGGGCAUGCCUGUUCGAGCGUCAUUUCAACCCUCAAGCCCCAGCGGCCUGGUGUUGGGGACCGGCGACCUCGCUGACGCCCUUCUUGGGGCCCAGCGUCCGCCGCCCCCGAAAUGAAUUGGCGGUCUCGUCGCGGCCUCCUCUGCGUAGUAGCACAACCUCGCAACAGGAGCGCGACGCGGCCACUGCCGUAAAACGCCCAACUUUUUUAGAGUUGACCUCGGAUCAGGUAGGAAUACCCGCUGAACUUAAGCAUAUCAAUAAGCGGAGGA